rnacentral:misc_RNA from 1 species
UCUCCGUUGGUGAACCAGCGGAGGGAUCAUUACUGAGUGAGGGCUCACGCCCGACCUCCAACCCUUUGUGAACCCAUCUUGUUGCUUCGGGGGCGACCCUGCCGUUUCGAUGGCGAGCGCCCCCGGAGGCCUUCAAACACUGCAUCUUUGCGUCGGAGUUUAAGUAAAUUAAACAAAACUUUCAACAACGGAUCUCUUGGUUCUGGCAUCGAUGAAGAACGCAGC